CCCUUAGAUGUUCUGGGCCGCACGCGUGCUACACUGAACGGUUCAAUGGGUAAGGUAGUGCGAAAGCAUGACCUAAUCUCGAAAUCCGUUCGUGCUGGGGGUAGAAGCUUGCAAUUAUCCUUCUUGAACGAGGAAUACCUUGUAAGCGUGAGUCAUCAUCUCACGCUGAAUACGUCCCUGCCCUUUGUACACACCGCCCGUCGCUCCUACCGAUUGAGUGUUCCGGUGAGGCUUUGGGAGAAUGGCCUCAACAUGAGUUUAUCGUGUUUUGCCGUUUGAACUUAGUCAAACCUUAUCACUUAGAGGAAGGAGAAGUCGUAACA
rnacentral:rRNA from 1 species